UACGAAGGGUGCAAGCGUUACUCGGAAUUACUGGGCGUAAAGCGUGCGUAGGUGGUGAGUUAAGUCUGUCGUGAAAGCCCCGGGCUCAACCUGGGAACCGCGCUUGAGACUGGCACGCUCGAGUUCGGGAGAGGAUGGUGGAAUUCCCAGUGUAGAGGUGAAAUUCGUAGAUAUUGGGAAGAACACCGAUGGCGAAGGCAGCCAUCUGGACCGACACUGACGCUGAGGCGCGAAAGCGUGGGGAGCAAACAGG
rnacentral:rRNA from 1 species